rnacentral:rRNA from 1 species
AUGUCGACCACGGAGGCGCUCCUCCCCGCCUCCGGCAGCGGCGGCGGCGAGCGCCUGAGCAUCGACGACGCGCUGGCGCUGCACGCGGGGGAGUUCGGGCGGUGGCAGCUAUGGCACUUCCUGCUGGUGACGGCGGCGUGGGCGCUGGAGGCGAUGCACACCAUGGUGAUGAUCUUCGCCGACCGCGAGCCGGCCAUGUGGUGCCCCGCGGGGGACGGGCGGUGCGGCGACCGCUGCGCCGGCGCCGCGGCCGGGUGGGAGUGGGAGCACGGGAGCGGCUCGUCGACGGUGGCCGAGUGGGGCCUCGUCUGCGGCGAGCGCUACAAGGUCGGCCUCGUCCAGGCCGUCUUCUUCGCCGGCUGCAUGAUCGGCGCCGGCGUUUUUGGUCAUCUGUCAGACUCUUUUAUGGGUCGGAAGGGGACCCUACACGUGGUGUGCUUCCUCAAUGCCAUCUUCGGCCUCCUCACCGCUCUCUCCCCGAAUUAUUGGGUCUACAUGGCAUUGCGCCUUCUCACAGGAUUUAGCGCUGGAAGCGUUUGCCUUUGUGCCUUCGUCCUCGCCACGGAGCCGAUAGGCCCAUCCUAUCGUGGGGUCACCGGCAUGUCGACUUGCUACUUCUUCUCCGGAGGCAUCGCAGCCCUUGCCGGCAUAGCCGCAAUGUGCCAGUCAUCCUGGCGCUUGCUCUACGUCGUCACUUCCAUGCCAUCACUUGUCUUCGCGCUCGCCGUCAUGCCGUUCGUAUCUGAGUCCCCGCGUUGGUACCUCGUGCGGCGGCGCACCGACGACGCGAUGCGGAUUCUACGAAACAUUGCAUCUAGUAAUGGCAGAAGCAUCCCGGAUGGUGUCACGCUCAAGCUCGAUGAUGAAGAUGACCUAAACAAGAAGGUCGAGGAGUCGUCGUCGACGAUCUUGGAUGUGUUCCGAUCGCGGGCAACGCGGGGCAGGCUCGUGCUCUCGGUGAUCAUCAGCUUCCUUUGCUCCGCAGUGUACUUUGGGCUGAGCCUCAACGUGGUCAACCUAAAGCUUAACCUUUACAUCAGCGUGGUUGCUAACUGUCUCGCUGAGAUGCCCGGGUUCCUGCUUACUACAGUGCUCCUCCAACGUUUUGGCCGCAAACCACUCGCUAUUGGCUCGAUGAUUCUCAGCGGCAUUUUCUGCACAUCUGCCAGUCUUAUUGCCGGUGUCGGUGCCUUGAGGGUGGUGAGGAUGGCAUGCGGGAUGGUAGGAAUCUUUGGAAUGGCAGCGACAUACAGCCUGUUGGUCCUAUACACUGGAGAGUUGUUCCCAACAGCAGUACGUACCGCGGCGAUGGGAUGUACAGCACAGGCGUCGCAGAUGGGCGCCAUACUGGCGCCCUUGGUGGUGGUGCUUGGGGAGCAAGUGCCAUUCGCGGUGUUCGGCGUGUUUGGCAUCAUUGGUGGGCUGCUUGUGAUCUGCCUCCCAGAGACUAUGAACAAGCCCUUGUACGACACCAUGUUCGGGCUGGAGAAAGGGGAGAGGGCACCUACAAGUGAAGAAGAAGUUAUAUCGGGGAACUCCAAAAUUUGA